rnacentral:rRNA from 1 species
AUACGGAGGAUCCAAGCGUUAUCCGGAAUCAUUGGGUUUAAAGGGUCCGUAGGCGGGUUUAUAAGUCAGUGGUGAAAGUUUGCGGCUCAACCGUAAAAUUGCCAUUGAUACUGUAGAUCUUGAAUUAGUGUGAAGUGAUUAGAAUAAGUAGUGUAGCGGUGAAAUGCAUAGAUAUUACUUAGAAUACCAAUUGCGAAGGCAGGUCACUAACACUAUAUUGACGCUGAGGGACGAAAGCGUGGGGAGCGAACAGGAUUAGAAACCCCAGUAGUCC